UUUGAACGCUAACGGCAUGCUUAACACAUGCAAGUCGAACGGCAGCACAGCAGUAGCAAUACUGUGGGUGGCGAGUGGCGGACGGGUGAGUAAUGUAUAGGAAUCUGCCUUGUAGUGGGGGAUAACCUGGGGAAACUCGGGCUAAUACCGCAUAAUCUUUACGAAACAAAGCGGGGGAUCGUAAGACCUUGCGCUAUAAGAUGAGCCUAUAUUGGAUUAGCUAGUUGGUGGGGUAAAGGCCUACCAAGGCGACGAUCCAUAGCUGGUCUGAGAGGAUGAUCAGCCACACUGGGACUGAGACACGGCCCAGACUCCUACGGGAGGCAGCAGUGGGGAAUAUUGGACAAUGGGGGAAACCCUGAUCCAGCAAUGCCGUGUGUGCGAAGAAGGCCUUCGGGUUGUAGAGCACUUUUAGUGGGAAAGAAAAGCUCAAAGCUAAUAACUUUGAGCCUUGACGUUACCCACAGAAAAAGCACUGGCUAACUCUGUGCCAGCCGCCGCCGUAA
rnacentral:rRNA from 1 species